AUUGAACGCUGGCGGCAGGCUUAACACAUGCAAGUCGAGCGGGGGAAGGUAGCUUGCUACCGGACCUAGCGGCGGACGGGUGAGUAAUGCUUAGGAAUCUGCCUAUUAGUGGGGGACAACAUCUCGAAAGGGAUGCUAGUACAGCAUAAGUCCUACGGGAGAAAGCAGGGGAUCUUCGGACCUUGCGAUAAUAGAUGAGCCUAAGUAGGAUUAGCUAGUUGGUGGGGUAAAGGCCUACCAAGGCGACGAUCUGUAGCGGGUCUGAGAGGAUGAUCCGCCACACUGGGACUGAGACACGGCCCAGACUCCUACGGGAGGCAGCAGUGGGGAAUAUUGGACAAUGGGGGGAACCCUGAUCCAGCCAUGCCGCGUGUGUGAAGAAGGCCUUAUGGUUGUAAAGCACUUUAAGCGAGGAGGAGGCUACUUUAGUUAAUACCUAGAGAUAGUGGACGUUACUCGCAGAAUAAGCACCGGCUAACUCUGUGCCAGCAGCCGCCGUAA
rnacentral:rRNA from 1 species